rnacentral:lncRNA from 1 species
CUUCAAGGUCGUUUGGAUAAACAAUGGAUUCCCCCAAUUUGUUAUCUUUAUCUCGAAGAAACGAAUCCUAACGUGUUGAGUAGACAUUGAAAGACACGCUUGAGUCAACCAUCACAUAUGGCACAUAUAAAUUGCCUUUGAUGGGUCGGUGAACACAGUGCAGAUUUUCAGAACGUCCAAACGCGCACGAAUUUUGAUUCAAUCACCUCUUCCGCACGCAGACGCACACAGAAAUGGACCUAAGAGAAUCCAUCAAGAACCAAACACAAGCAUCACUUCAGCUUGCACAUCACUUGGUUUCGACUGAGGCCAAGGAUAAGAAUUUGGUGUUCUCGCCGCUCUCGAUUCACGUGGUGUUGGGUCUGAUCGCGGCCGGAUCCAAAGAUCAAACCCUUAAUCAGUUGCUUAAUUUCCUCAAAUCGAAGUCCACUGAUGAACUCAACUCACUCUCCUCUCAGCUUGUAACUCUCAUUUUCGCUGACGGUGGCCCCCUUGGUGGGCCUUGCUUGUCAUUCGCUAAUGGGGUUUGGAUAGAUCAGAGUCUCAGCUUCAAGCCCAGUUUUAAAGAAAUUGUUGAUAAUAUUUACAAGGCUGCUUCUAAUCCUGUUGAUUUUCAAACUAAGGUUAGUUUAAUUUCUAUUUUCAAUUAUAGAACUCAUGAAUCUGUUUAUCGUUGAUCAAGGUUUGAUUGUUCCCUUAUAACAUUUUUUGCUUAUUAUUGGUGUUAAAUUUCCUUUUUUUUUUUUUUUUUUUUAAUCAAUUGAGACUCUAUUGUGUAUGUUUCUGAAAUUCAAUUUGAUGGCUUUGACACAAUUAAUAUGAUUACAUUUGGGAAAAAUAGGUGAUGAAAUUUUCAAAACAUAUUUCAAAAAUUAUUACAAUUGGUCCAUUUCAUUCAUUUUUAUUAGUUUGGUUAAUGGAAAAGCUGUUUCUUCCAACUGAUUGUUGAACUUAAAAUUUAUUGCAAUUUGUCGUUUUAUCCGUGCUUUUUUAAAUUUUGUUAAGGGAAAGCUGGAGUUGAUGUCCAGUAUUACCAAUGAAAAAUGAAUUUAGUUCAAUUAGUUAAACUACUUUUGCUCGUUUCUAUAAAUUGUUUGUGAACACUGUUUAUUUACACAUUUUGAGGAACCACUCAUUUCUAUCCGUUUAUAAUUUGAACUGUUUAAAAACACUCCCAAACAUGUUACUAUGUAAAUAUACAUAAGCAAGUUUAGCUAGAGGAAUUUGAGCUUGAAUUACAUAUAGAUUUCGGAUUUCCAUUAACAUCCGAGUCAGUAUAUCUCAAAGAACGAUUUGUUCAUUGUAUGAAUUUUCCAAGUUUCAAUGGAAUCGAGUUUGAUCUUGGCUAUUCAAUAAAUCUUGGUUAUUAAGUUGCAAUUAACUUGAGCUUGAUUUCAUUUAUUUAACAGCUUAUUGGAAUGUCAUAAGUAUGAAAAAACAACUGAAAGGUUUUGUCCUUCACUAUAGACCCAAUUGGAAGGCUGCUUAAUGUCAAAAUUGUGCUAUAGGAUCUCGUAAGGUUUGACCCAGAUUAAAUCAUUGAAGAUUAUGUCUCUCAUUUUUUAAAAAUUUUCACUUUUUUCUGUUUCUAACUGAAAACUUGACCUUCGUACGUUCAAAAGUUGCUAAACUAAGCCCAACCAAGCCGGAGGCAUUGUCUCCUAGUUACUUAGAUUUCAUCUUCCCAAAUACCAAAAUAGAAUGACAUGUAAUUUUAAACUUUAAAACACUUGCCAUACACCAGUGGUUGUAAAUCCAUGUGGUGCUUCACAUUGUAAGAAAAUUUGCAUUAUUUUUAUACCUUUUUCUUUUUUCUUUUUUUUUUUUUUUGUAAAUUCUGUAAUUGUUUACAGAAUUGUGAUAGUGUGAUAUUAUGAAAAUAUCAAAUGGAUAACAUCCAAUUUAUUCUUGUCUUCAUGUUAGUAUUGGUCACCAAGAAAUCCCUGUCGAAUGGAUGAAAAAUGCUUCUAGCUCCCUGACUCCAAAUUUAUUGGGGACGGCUUUGCUUUUGCUUUUGUUUUUUUGGUGGUGGUUAUGUUCAUAAGCAUGUAACCAACUUCUGUUUCAAGUAUAUCUGUAAAUGGUACUCAUGGCCCAUGACUUUUAGAAUAAACCUUACAAAGAAAUAGUUUCUACUGUAAUGUCAACGAAUUCAUGCUGUACACAGUUAUUUAUCUGCUUGUACACCUUGAGUUGUAGGAGAAAGAGGAACUGGCUGGGUGAAAUCAUUCAUGUUGUAGAACUUCUACUUCUGCAAGUAAAUUUCUUUAACAAUGGAUUAAUUGUUAUGUUCUUUAUUCUUGAUAUUUCUGAAGGCUGUUGAGGUAAUCGGCGAAGUCAAUCAAUGGGCUGAAAAGGAAACAAGUGGCCUUGUCGAAGAAAUUCUUCCACCUGGCUCAGUUGAUGCUUCCACGAGGCUCAUCUUUGCGAAUGCAGUGUAUUUCAAAGGAGCUUGGAGUGAGAAGUUUGAUGCAUCAAUUACAAAGGACCAUGACUUUUUCCUCCUAGAUGGGAGCUCAGUACAAGUACCCUUCAUGAGUAGCAAGAAGAAGCAAUAUAUACGUUCCUUUGAUGGUUUCAAAAUUUUGAGCCUUCCGUAUAAGCAAGGUGAAGAUAAGCGCAAGUUCUCUAUGAACUUCCUUCUUCCAGACACCAAAGAUGGAUUGCUGGCUUUGGUAGAGAAAGUCAGUUCGGAAUCAGGAUUCUUGGAGCAUCACCUCCCAUAUCAAAAGGUCGAAGUUGGUGAAUUCCGUAUCCCAAAAUUCAAAUUGUCAUUUGGGUUUGAAGCCUCGGAAGUUCUGAAGGGACUGGGAGUAGUGUUGCCUUUUUCUGGUGGUGGUCUCACAGAGAUGGUGGACUCACAAGUUGGUCAGAACCUUUAUGUUUCUAGCAUUUUCCACAAGUCAUUUAUUGAGGUAAAUGAGGAAGGCACGGAAGCUGCUGCUGCUUCUGCUGGUCUUGUUAAACUGAGGGGUUUAUUAGUCGAGGAUGAGUUCGAUUUUGUUGCCGAUCAUCCAUUUUUGUUCAUCAUCAGGGAAGAUAUGACUGGGGUAGUGCUAUUCAUUGGGCACGUUCUUAAUCCACUUCUUGGCUGAUCAAAUGUACUGAACUAGACUAUUACGUAUACAUAAGAGUCUCAUACAAUCGAUCGAGGUCUGUAUUUUUCUAAUUCCUAUAGCUUCGAUUAGCUGUGCUUUAUGAUACUGUAUUUGUUGCCUGUCAUCCAAUUUCUCUUCUUGUUGUAAAGGUGGUUCCAUCCACACACUUGACUGUUAUGUGCUUUCUAAUAUCUUUAUAUGACCGUUUUCUGAGACUGAUCAACAUGUUUCUUUUCUUAAUUUCAUUUCAACUUGAAACUGGAAUAUUGAUUGCUAGAAUACCAUUUACAUUGUUGUAAAGUUCUCACUUAGCUUGAGCCCCAUUUUUUGGAAAAUAAUGCAUUUUGAAUAGUAGAUUGAAGGAAAAUAUGUGGUUAAAAAGUAAAAAAAAAAGUUUUGAAUUUACGUGUAAUAUUAUUUUAUUGAAGGAUGUGUGGUUGAAAAUAAGUUUUGAAAAACUGAAUUUUUGAAAGAAUGAGACUCAAACAGAGGUUUGAUAACACUUUCACGUCUGUUGAGGAAUUCAAUAAAACAAUAUUUAAUGUAACAGAGUAUACCGUCUGUUGGUUGUAUUAUUUCUACUUGAUUCUAUGUUGAUUUGUGAUUAUGAACUACAUCUAUUAUAUACGAUUAUGGUUAGUUUGGGUCUCCUCAAGGGAAAUGGGAGGUCACACUUCACUUAAAAUGACUUAUUCUUAAUCUAGGAUAGUAAAUGAUCAGUUGAUAUCUAGAUGGUUCAUGGUGUGUGGUCAUCGAUCUGCUAUAACACAUUGAACUACUUUUGGUCCAUUUUUAGAUGGUAACUGUUGUAUAUCUACCCACUUCANUACGUAUACAUAAUAAGAGUCUCAUACAAUCGAUCGAGGUCUGUAUUUUUCUAAUUCCUAUAGCUUCGAUUAGUUGUGCUUUAUGAUACUGUAUUUGUUGCCUGUCAUCCAGUUUCUCUUCUUGUUGUAAAGGUGGUUCCAUCCACACACUUGACUGUUAUGUGCUUUCUAAUAUCUUUAUAUGACCGUUUUCUGAG